rnacentral:rRNA from 1 species
AGGUAAUUUGAUUUACAAGGUAUUGAAUAAGGUUUUAAUUGAAUGCUAAAAGAAUGGAAUAUCAAAGAAUAACUUUCUUAAAAUUAAAAAUUGAAAUUUUUUUAAUUUGUGUAAAAACAAUUAUAUAAAUUAAAGACAAGAAGACCCUAAGAAUUUUUAAAAUUUAAAUUAACACAUUUUUGUUUUAAUUAAAUUUUAACUGGGGCGGUUAAAAAAUAUUAAAAACUUUUUAAUUUUGAAAAUGACCCAUUAUUAAUGAAAAUAUGAUAAAAUACUCUAGGGAUAACAGCGUUAUAUUUUUUGAUAGAUCAUAUUGACAAAAAAGUUUGCGACCUCGAUGUUGGAUUAGGAUACUUUUUUAAUGAAGAUAUUAAAAUAAGAAGUUUGUUCAACUUUUAAAUUCCUACAUGAUCUGAGUUUAGACCGA